UACGUAUGGUGCAAGCGUUAUCCGGAUUUACUGGGUGUAAAGGGAGCGUAGGCGGCGCGUUAAGUCUGAUGUGAAAACCCGAGGCUCAACCACGGGAGUGCAUUGGAAACUGGCGGGCUGGAGUGCCGGAGAGGUAAGCGGAAUUCCUAGUGUAGCGGUGAAAUGCGUAGAUAUUAGGAGGAACUCCAGUGGCGAAGGCGGCUUACUGGACGGCAACUGACGCUGAGGCUCGAAAGCGUGGGGAGCAAACAGG
rnacentral:rRNA from 1 species